ensembl:rRNA 5S_rRNA 5S ribosomal RNA
GUCUAUGGCCAUACCACCCUGAACGCGCCCGAUCUCGUCUGAUCUCGGAAGCUAAGCAGGGUCGGGCCUGGUUAGUACUUGGAUAGAAGAUGUAUGUUUGAAGGCACACUGACAUAAAGC